ensembl:lncRNA
CUGCUGGUCUAAAGCGUUCGCUUGAAUCUGGGCAAUACUAGUCUGCACGUGUUCUGAAAACCCAGUUCUACUGAAGUCCUCCAUAAGAGUAGGGUGACCUAGAAUUUAGAGGAAAUUUGGUAACCCCCUUCCCAAAUUUAUGGUGUUUCUAAACGUCAGACCAUCUACAAGGCUGAUUUGAUGAAAGUGGUGAAUCCGCAUUUGAUAAUUGAAGUGCUGUGGCAUAUGGGCUGUAGUAAUCACAGAAACAGUACCUCAAGAAGGAAGAAACUUAGAUCCCUGAGUCACUGCUUGAAAGAGUAUCUCUGGGCUCCAAGGAGUACCACAUCAAGCUAUGAUGUAAAUAAGAAACUUAUGUAUUGUGUUAAGGCAUUGGUAGUUAGAGGGUCCUUGUUUCAGUAUUUAGUUUUAAUUACUCUGACAAAAUACCAUUGAAAAGUGUUCAGUUCAGUUCAGUCACUCAGUCGUGUCCGACUCUUUGCUGCCUCAUGGACUGCAGCACAUCAGGCUUCCCUGUCCAUCACCAAAUCCUGGAGCUUACUAAAUAUUAAUAUUUAAUAUCUCAGAAAUAUUUGAAAUGUACCAUGUACCACACUGAUCUUUCCCCUACUCUUAGACCUCUUCUAGCAUCUUCAUCCAGAGAAGGCAAUGGCACCCCACUCCAGUACUCUUGCCUGGAAAAUCCCAUGGAUGGAGGAGCCUGGUGGGCUGCUGUCUAUGGGGUCGCACAGAGUCGGACACAAUUGAAGUGACUUAGCAGCAGUAGCAGCAGCAUCUUCAUAUCUUUGAAUGGCUUCUUCACCCAUUUCAGUUGAGCAAUAUAGAAACCUAAACACCAUCCCUGGUACCUCUUUAAACUUUUCUCUCAUUUCAAAUGAAUGGCUAUACUUCUCAGUUUUAUUUCCUAUACUACUAUUCUUGAAUUACUCACCCUUCCAAUAGCACUGCAGUAAGCUAAGUCUGAAUAAAAGACUUCCUUACUGUCUGUCCCCCUGUCGACUUUUGCCUCUCUUCUGUCUGUUCGAUGCCCCCCAUCUAGAGUUAUCAAAUGUGAUCAAGUCAUUUCACUGCUGUAGCUCAUUAAGUGACUUUCUGAUGGUCUUAAUUAUAGAUUGAAUUGAGUUUCCCCCAAAAUUCAUAUGUUGAAACUCUAGCCCACGAUAUGGUUAUAUCUGGAUAUAGGGUCUUUUGGAGGUCAUUAGGGUUAAAUGAGGUCAUAAGGGUGGAGCUCUAAUCCAGUAGGACUGUGACCUUAAAAAAAGAGGAAGAGUUCACAUGCUUGCUCUCUCUCUCUCUUCCCCCUUCCCCCUAACUCCACCAUCCUGACUCCACUGUCCCCCAUCAUGUAAAGACAAAGUGAGAAGGCAGCUAUCUGCAAGCCAGAAAGAGCCUUCGCAAGAAGCAGAUGACGCUGUACCCUGAUCAUAGACUUCCAGCUUCUAGAACUGUUAGAAAAUUGAUUUUUGUUGUUCAAGCCACUCAGUAUUUUGUCUUGGCCACCCAAGCUGACUAAAACCAUCAUUAUUAAAACUGAAUCAUUUAGGAGUGACCCUCACUGCCAAUUCUGCUUUAUCUUAUGCCAUGCUUCACCCUGCCACCCAUCUCUGAUUCCAACCAUAGCAGCCCUGAGAGCUUUUCAGCUCUUUGAACAAAUCUUAUUCUCACCACAUGGCCUUUUCACAUGUUUAUCACUAUACCUAGGACAUGUCAUGUUUAGCCAACCCAUUCUCGUUCUUCAGAGUAUAGCUGGCAAAAUUCUCUCCCUGGCAAAGCCUUUGGUGAUUCUGACCCCAC